UUAAAUGAAAGAGUUUGAUCCUGGCUCAGGACGAACGCUGGCGGCGUGCUUAACACAUGCAAGUCG
rnacentral:rRNA from 1 species